AGAGUUUGAUCAUGGCUCAGGAUGAACGCCGGCGGUGUGCCUAAUACAUGCAAGUCGAACGCGUUGGCCCAACUGAUUGAACGUGCUUGCACGGACUUGACGUUGGUUUACCAGCGAGUGGCGGACGGGUGAGCAACACGUAGGUAACCUGCCCCAAAGCGGGGGAUAACAUUUGGAAACAGAUGCUAAUACCGCAUAACAAUUUGAAUCGCAUGAUUCAAAUUUGAAAGAUGGCUUCGGCUAUCACUUUGGGAUGGACCUGCGGCGCAUUAGCUUGUUGGUAGGGUAACGGCCUACCAAGGCUGUGAUGCGUAGCCGAGUUGAGAGACUGAUCGGCCACAAUGGAACUGAGACACGGUCCAUACUCCUACGGGAGGCAGCAGUAGGGAAUCUUCCACAAUGGGCGCAAGCCUGAUGGAGCAACACCGCGUGAGUGAAGAAGGGUUUCGGCUCGUAAAGCUCUGUUGUUAGAGAAGAACGUGCGUGAGAGCAACUGUUCACGCAGUGACGGUAUCUAACCAGAAAGUCACGGCUAACUACGUGCCAGCAGCCGCGGUAAUACGUAGGUGGCAAGCGUUAUCCGGAUUUAUUGGGCGUAAAGCGAGCGCAGGCGGUUUGAUAAGUCUGAUGUGAAAGCCUUUGGCUUAACCAAAGAAGUGCAUCGGAAACUGUCAGACUUGAGUGCAGAAGAGGACAGUGGAACUCCAUGUGUAGCGGUGGAAUGCGUAGAUAUAUGGAAGAACACCAGUGGCGAAGGCGGCUGUCUGGUCUGCAACUGACGCUGAGGCUCGAAAGCAUGGGUAGCGAACAGGAUUAGAUACCCUGGUAGUCCAUGCCGUAAACGAUGAGUGCUAGGUGUUGGAGGGUUUCCGCCCUUCAGUGCCGCAGCU
rnacentral:rRNA from 1 species